UACAGAGGUCUCAAGCGUUGUUCGGAUUCAUUGGGCGUAAAGGGUGCGUAGGUGGCGCCGUAAGUCAGGUGUGAAAUUUCGGAGCUCAACUCCGAAACUGCAUUUGAUACUGCGGUGCUUGAGGACUGGAGAGGAGACUGGAAUUCACGGUGUAGCAGUGAAAUGCGCAGAUAUCGUGAGGAAGACCAGUGGCGAAGGCGGGUCUCUGGACAGUUCCUGACACUGAGGCACGAAGGCCAGGGGAGCAAACGGG
rnacentral:rRNA from 1 species